rnacentral:rRNA from 1 species
UACGAGGGGGGCAAAUGUUGUUCGGAAUCACUGGGCGUAAAGCGCACGUAGGCGGAUUGUUAAGUCGGGGGUGAAAUCCUGGAGCUCAACUCCAGAACUGCCUUCGAUACUGGCAAUCUCGAGUCCGGAAGAGGUAAGUGGAACUCCUAGUGUAGAGGUGGAAUUCGUAGAUAUUAGGAAGAACACCAGUGGCGAAGGCGGCUUACUGGUCCGGUACUGACGCUGAGGUGCGAAAGCGUGGGGAGCAAACAGG